rnacentral:rRNA from 1 species
CCGGGAAACUGGGGCUAAUUCCCCAUAGGCCUGAGGUACUGGAAGGUCCUCAGGCCGAAAGGGACUUAUGUCCGCCCGAGGAUGGGCCGGCGGCCGAUUAGGUAGUUGGUGGGGUAAUGGCCCACCAAGCCGAAGAUCGGUACGGGCUGUGAGAGCAGGAGCCCGGAGAUGGACACUGAGACACGGGUCCAGGCCCUACGGGGCGCAGCAGGCGCGAAACCUCCGCAAUGCGGGAAACCGCGACGGGGGGACCCCGAGUGCCGUGGCAACGCCACGGCUUUUCCGGAGUGUAAAAAGCUCCGGGAAUAAGGGCUGGGCAAGGCCGGUGGCAGCCGCCGCGGUAAUACCGGCGGCCCGAGUGGUGGCCGCUAUUAUUGGGCCUAAAGCGUCCGUAGCCGGGCCCGUAAGUCCCUGGCGAAAUCCCACGGCUCAACCGUGGGGCUUGCUGGGGAUACUGCGGGUCUUGGGACCGGGAGAGGCGGGGGGUACCCCUGGGGUAGGGGUGAAAUCCUAUAAUCCCAGGGGGACCGCCAGUGGCGAAGGCGCCCCGCUGGAACGGGUCCGACGGUGAGGGACGAAGGCCAGGGGAGCAAACCGGAUUAGAUACCCGGGUAGUCCUGGCUGUAAAGGAUGCGGGCUAGGUGUCGGGUGAGCCUCGAGCUCGCCCGGUGCCGUAGGGAAGCCGUUAAGCCCGCCGCCUGGGGAGUACGGCCGCAGGGCUGAAACU